rnacentral:rRNA from 1 species
AGCGAACGCUGGCGGCAGGCCUAACACAUGCAAGUCGAACGAACUCUUCGGAGUUAGUGGCGGACGGGUGAGUAACACGUGGGAACGUGCCUUUUGGUUCGGAAUAACUCAGGGAAACUUGUGCUAAUACCGAAUGUGCCCUUCGGGGGAAAGAUUUAUCGCCAUUAGAGCGGCCCGCGUCUGAUUAGCUAGUUGGUGAGGUAACGGCUCACCAAGGCGACGAUCAGUAGCUGGUCUGAGAGGAUGACCAGCCACACUGGGACUGAGACACGGCCCAGACUCCUACGGGAGGCAGCAGUGGGGAAUCUUGCGCAAUGGGCGAAAGCCUGACGCGGCCAUGCCGCGUGAAUGAUGAAGGUCUUAGGAUUGUAAAAUUCUUUCACCGGGGACGACAAUGACGGUACCCGGAGAAGAAGCCCCGGCUAACUUCGUG